rnacentral:rRNA from 1 species
UACAGAGGGUGCGAACGUUGCUCGGAAUUACUGGGCGUAAAGCGCAUGUAGGCGGUCUUGUAAGUCGGACGUGAAAGCCCGGGGCUCAACCCCGGAAGGGCGCUCGAUACUGCUUGACUUGGGUUCUGAAGAGGAGAGCGGAAUUCCCGGUGUAGAGGUGAAAUUCGUAGAUAUCGGGAGGAACCCCAGUGGCGAAGGCGGCUCUCUGGGCAGAUACCGACGCUGAGAUGCGAAAGCGUGGGAAGCAAACAGG